rnacentral:rRNA from 1 species
UGGGGAAUAUUGCACAAUGGGCGGAAGCCUGAUGCAGCGACGCCGCGUGGGGGAUGAAGGCCUUCGGGUUGUAAACUCCUUUCGACAGGGACGAAGCUUUUGUGACGGUACCUGUAUAAGAAGCACCGGCUAACUACGUGCCAGCAGCCGCGGUAAUACGUAGGGUGCGAGCGUUGUCCGGAAUUACUGGGCGUAAAGAGCUCGUAGGUGGUUUGUCGAGUCGUCUGUGAAAUUCAGGGGCUUAACUCCGGGCGUGCAGGCGAUACGGGCUGACUUGAGUGCUGUAGGGGAGACUGGAAUUCCUGGUGUAGCGGUGAAAUGCGCAGAUAUCAGGAGGAACACCGAUGGCGAAGGCAGGUCUCUGGGCAGUAACUGACGCUGAGUAGCGAAAGCAUGGGUAGCGAACAGG